CUUGACAUGCAGGUUAGUCGGGGUUUACGAAAGUAGGCCCACCCUCGGGAGGCCUGCACAGGUGCUGCAUGGCUGUCGUCAGCUCGUGUCGUGAGAUGUCCGGUUAAGUCCCGGUAACGAGCGCAACCCUCGCUGUAUGUUAUACGUGUCAUACGGGACUGCCGGUAUCAAGCCGGAGGAAGGUGGGAUGACGUCAAGUCAGCAUGGCCUUUAUGUCUGGGGCUACACACACGCUACAACGGCCAGUACAAUAGGUUGCAAGACCGCGAGGUGGAGCCAAUCCUAAAAGCUGGUCUCAGUUCGGAUUGCAGGCUGCAACUCGCCUGCAUGAAGUCGGAGUUGCUAGUAACCGCGCGUCAGCUAUAGUGCGGUGAAUACGUUCCCGGACCUU
rnacentral:rRNA from 1 species